UUGCAGCCACAUCAUGUUUUAACACUAGUUCCCGUACAAUCACCGAGGUUAAGCAACACCAAGCCUGGUCAGUACUUUGAUGGGUAACUGCUUGGGAAUACCAGGUGAUGUAA